UACAGAGGGGGCAAGCGUUGUUCGGAAUUACUGGCGUAAAGGGCGCGUAGGCGGCCUUCUAAGUCGAACGUGAAAUCCCUGGGCUCAACCCAGGAACUGCGUCCGAUACUGGAAGGCUUGAAUCCGGGAGAGGGAUGCGGAAUUCCAGGUGUAGCGGUGAAAUGCGUAGAUAUCUGGAGGAACACCGGUGGCGAAGGCGGCAUCCUGGACCGGUAUUGACGCUGAGGCGCGAAAGCCAGGGGAGCAAAC
rnacentral:rRNA from 1 species